rnacentral:rRNA from 1 species
UACGGAGGAUCCGAGCGUUGUCCGGAUUUAUUGGGUUAAAGGUGCGUAGGCGGUUUAUAAGUCAGUGGUUAAAGACUCUCGCUCAACGAGAGGAUGCCAUUGAUACUGUAGAACUUGAGUACUGUAGAGGUAGGCGGAAUUGGUAAGUGUAGCGGUGAAAUGCAUAGAUACUACCAGGAACACGAUUGCGAAGGCAGCUUACUGGAGAGUAACUGACGCUGAGGCACGGAAAGCGAUGGGGAUCAAACCAGG